rnacentral:rRNA from 1 species
UACGUAGGGUGCAAGCGUUAAUCGGAAUUACUGGGCGUAAAGCGUGCGCAGGCGGUUUUGUAAGUCUGUUGGGAAAUCCCCGGGCUUAACCUGGGAAUGGCAAUGGAGACUGCAAGGCUAGAGUUUGGCAGAGGGGGGUAGAAUUCCACGUGUAGCAGUGAAAUGCGUAGAGAUGUGGAGGAACACCGAUGGCGAAGGCAGCCCCCUGGGUCAAGACUGACGCUCAUGCACGAAAGCGUGGGGAGCAAACAGG